UUUGAAAUCCGGCCCCCGGGGCCCGAGUUGUAAUUUGCAGAGGAUGCUUCGGGCGAGGCGCCUUCCGAGUUCCCUGGAACGGGACGCCGCAGAGGGUGAGAGCCCCGUCUGGUCGGACGCCGAGCCCGCGUGAAGCUCCUUCGACGAGUCGAGUAGUUUGGGAAUGCUGCUCAAAACGGGAGGUAUAUGUCUUCUAAAGCUAAAUACCGGCCAGAGACCGAUAGCGCACAAGUAGAGUGAUCGAAAGAUGAAAAGCACUUUGAAAAGAGGGUUAAAAAGUACGUGAAAUUGUUGAAAGGGAAGCGCCCGCGACCAGACUUGGGCCCGGCGGAUCACCCGGCGUUCUCGCCGGCGCACUCCGCCGGGCACAGGCCAGCAUCGGUCCGGCGCGGGGGACAAAGGCUCUGGGAACGUGGCUCCCCCGGGAGUGUUAUAGCCCACCGCGCAAUGCCCUGCGCCGGACCGAGGAACGCGCACCGCAAGGAUGCUGGCGUAAUGGUCGUCGGCGACCCGUCUUGAAACACGGACCAAGGAGUCGUCUUCGUAUGCGAGUGUUCGGGUGUCAAACCCCUACGCGGAAUGAAAGUGAACGCAGGUGAGAGCCUCGGCGCAUCAUCGACCGAUCCUGAUGUCCUCGGAUGGAUUUGAGUAGGAGCAUACGGGGCCGGACCCGAAAGAAGGUGAACUAUGCCUGCGUAGGGUGAAGCCAGAGGAAACUCUGGUGGAGGCUCGCAGCGGUUCUGACGUGCGAAUCGAUCGUCAAACGUGGGCAUGGGGGCGAAAGACUAAUCGAACCUUCUAGUAGCUGGUUUC
rnacentral:rRNA from 1 species